GGUCUGUAGCUCAGUGGUAGAGCACUUGCCUAGGUUGGCAUGAGGCACUGGGUUCGAUCCUCAGCACCA
rnacentral:tRNA from 1 species